GAAAAAUGAGAGGAGAAAAAUGAGAGGAGAGAGCAGAGGACUGGAGACAGUGUGAAGUUUGAACACUCAUUUUAAAUUCAGAUACAGUAUACUUAUGAUAUGGUCAUAUUUCAUCUGAUGACAUAUUGCUCAUCUGUUCAUCUGGUUUUUCAUACUUUGAACACUGAUUUAUAUCAUCUGACUACUCUUAUUUUGUUGUUUUUUUCUUUUCUUUUUCAGAAAAAUGAGAGGAGGUAGGAAUCUGAGAGGCAACAUGAACUUUGAACUCUGUUUUUAUACUUUUUCUACGUUCUUUUACGUUCAGAAUGCAUGUGUUCAGAAAUAUUUCAACUGCUUAUUUUGUAACAUUUUUAAGUUUGAACACUGAUCUAUAUCGUCUGACUACUGUUUAUUUGUUGUUUUUCCUUUUUUUUCAGAAAAAUGAGAGGAG